AUGAAGACAAAAUCUCAAAAUCCUAUGACCAAUUCUAUUAAGCCAAAUCUUAUAAGUAAUGGUCAGAAUGCCCUUGGUCCAGGUGAGUUUACAGAAUUUCGGUGUGGACUUAAAAUGAAUGGGAAUAAUUGGAAGGCUCAAGUUCAAAGAGAUGGUGAAUGUGGCAGUGGUUGCCGGAGCUCUGAAUUUCGAUGAUUGGAAGACUCAACUUUUUCCCGAUUUGCGUCAAAAGAUUGUCAUGUGGGAAUGUGAAACACGAUUCAAUAAAGUCGUGUUGGCUCAUGGCACCUGAUCCAAAU
rnacentral:misc_RNA from 1 species